rnacentral:lncRNA from 1 species
GACAUAUCACAGACAUGGAUGAAAGGUCAUGUUUCUCAGACAUCAAGUUAAAAACCAAUAGUGACCACAGUCAUGAAAGAACAUUCAGCCUGAGACAAAAGGGGUUAACGCACAGGGAAGAUAACGACGGUGAGACCCGCCACCUGCAGUCCGGAAACAGAAUUUUAACACUGGCCUAAAGGAUGGUGAGAAAUGAACUCCUGGUUGCCGACCAGACUUCCCCUUCUCAUCCCGACGACGCGGGACAUAGGGUAGACGGUCCCAAUGCCGACG